AGUGAACGCUGGCGGUAGGCCUAACACAUGCAAGUCGAACGGCAGCACAGUAAGAGCUUGCUCUUACGGGUGGCGAGUGGCGGACGGGUGAGGAAUACAUCGGAAUCUACUUUUUCGUGGGGGAUAACGUAGGGAAACUUACGCUAAUACCGCAUACGACCUACGGGUGAAAGCAGGGGAUCUUCGGACCUUGCGCGAUUGAAUGAGCCGAUGUCGGCUUAGCUAGUUGGCGGGGUAAAGGCCCACCAAGGCGACGAUCCGUAGCUGGUCUGAGAGGAUGGUCAGCCACAUUGGAACUGAGACAGGGUCCAGACUCCUGCGGGAGGCAGCAGUGGGGAAUAUUGGGCAAUGGGGGCAAGCCUGAUCCAGCCAUACCGCGUGGGUGAAGAAGGCCUUCGGGUUGGAAAGCCCUUUUGUUGGGAAAGAAAAGCAGCAGGUUAAUACGCCGCUGUUCUGACGGUACCCGAAGAAUAAGCACCGGCUAACUUCGUG
rnacentral:rRNA from 1 species